rnacentral:rRNA from 1 species
GACGAACGCUGGCGGCGUGCUUAACACAUGCAAGUCGAACGAGUGGCGGACGGGUGAGUAAUGUCUGAGAAACUGCCUGAUGGAGGGGGAUAACUACUGGAAACGGUAGCUAAUACCGCAUACCAUCGGAUGUGCCCAGAUGGGAUUAGCUAGUAGGUGGGGUAAAGGCUCACCUAGGCGACGAUCCCUAGCUGGUCUGAGAGGAUGACCAGCCACACUGGAACUGAGACACGGUCCAGACUCCUACGGGAGGCAGCAGUGGGGAAUAUUGCACAAUGGGCGCAAGCCUGAUGCAGCCAUGCCGCGUGUAUGAAGAAGGCCUUCGGGUUGUAAAGUACUUUCAGCGGGGAGGCGUUACCAACAGAAUAAGCACCGGCUAACUUCGUGCCAGCAGCCGCGGUAAUUC